GACUAAGAGAUGUGUCUGCUGUGGGGGCUGGCGUCUAAUACCUGUACUACUUUGGAUACAGUGUUUGGAUGCUGUACAGAGCCCUGUACAGCCCUAUUGAGGGCAAAUGGACUGCAUUAGAUUAUGCAGUUGGAAAUUGGAUGAUCAGUGUUUGGGAAUCUUUACAGAUGGCUAAAGGAACUUGUUGCUAUUUGAACUGUUACAGAAUUUAGGGAUUUGUGCUACAGAUUCAUUUGCUCUUGGUGUGGGAAAUUAACUCUACAAUAUGAA